ACUCCUACGGGAGGCAGCAGUGGGGAAUUUUGGACAAUGGGCGAAAGCCUGAUCCAGCAAUGCCGCGUGCAGGAUGAAGGCCUUCGGGUUGUAAACUGCUUUUGUACGGAACGAAAAAGCUCCUUCUAAUACAGGGGGCCCAUGACGGUACCGUAAGAAUAAGCACCGGCUAACUACGUGCCAGCAGCCGCGGUAAUACGUAGGGUGCGAGCGUUAAUCGGAAUUACUGGGCGUAAAGCGUGCGCAGGCGGUUAUGUAAGACAGAUGUGAAAUCCCCGGGCUCAACCUGGGAACUGCAUUUGUGACUGCAUGGCUAGAGUACGGUAGAGGGGGAUGGAAUUCCGCGUGUAGCAGUGAAAUGCGUAGAUAUGCGGAGGAACACCGAUGGCGAAGGCAAUCCCCUGGACCUGUACUGACGCUCAUGCACGAAAGCGUGGGGAGCAAACAGGAUUAGAAACCCCAGUAGUCCCAUGA
rnacentral:rRNA from 1 species